rnacentral:misc_RNA from 1 species
UGGUUCUGGCAUCGAUGAAGAACGCAGCGAAAUGCGAUAAGUAAUGUGAAUUGCAGAAUUUAGUGAAUCAUCGAAUCUUUGAACGCACAUUGCGCCCCCUGGUAUUCCGAGGGGCAUACCUGUUCGAGCGUCAUUAUAACCCUCAAGCGCUGCUUGGUGUUGGGCCCGCUGCUUUAGCGGGCCUUAAAAUUAUAGGCGGUGCCCUUAGGCUCUGAGCGUAGUAAAUUAUCCUCGCUACGGAGUCCUGAGCGGUAUUGGCCUAAACCAAAGUCUCUUAGUUUGACCUCGGAUCAGGUAGGGAUACCCGCUGA